rnacentral:rRNA from 1 species
UACGUAGGGUGCAAGCGUUAAUCGGAAUUACUGGGCGUAAAGCGUGCGCAGGCGGUCCGCUAAGACAGAUGUGAAAUCCCCGGGCUUAACCUGGGAACUGCAUUUGUGACUGGCGGGCUAGAGUAUGGCAGAGGGGGGUAGAAUUCCACGUGUAGCAGUGAAAUGCGUAGAGAUGUGGAGGAACACCGAUGGCGAAGGCAGCCCCCUGGGCCAAUACUGACGCUCAUGCACGAAAGCGUGGGGAGCAAACAGG